rnacentral:rRNA from 1 species
AUUGAACGCUGGCGGCAUGCCUUACACAUGCAAGUCGAACGGUAACAGGUCUUCGGAUGCUGACGAGUGGCGAACGGGUGAGUAAUGCAUCGGAACGUGCCCAGUAGUGGGGGAUAGCCCGGCGAAAGCCGGAUUAAUACCGCAUACGACCUGAGGGUGAAAGGGGGGGAUCGCAAGACCUCUCGCUAUUGGAGCGGCCGAUGUCAGAUUAGCUAGUUGGUGGGGUAAAGGCCUACCAAGGCAACGAUCUGUAGUUGGUCUGAGAUGACGACCAGCCACACUGGGAUUGAGACACGGCCCAGACUCCUACGGGAGGCAGCAGUGGGGAAUUUUGGACAAUGGGCGCAAGCCUGAUCCAGCAAUGCCGCGUGCAGGAAGAAGGCCUUCGGGUUGUAAACUGCUUUUGUCAGGGAAGAAAUCUUCUGGGUUAAUACCUCGGGAGGAUGACGGUACCUGAAGAAUAAGCACCGGCUAACUACGUGCCAGCCGCCGCCGUAAAAC